AACGAACGCUGGCGGCAGGCCUAACACAUGCAAGUCGAACGAAGUCUUCGGACUUAGUGGCGCACGGGUGAGUAACACGUGGGAAUAUACCUUACGCUGGGGGAUAACAUCGGGAAACUGAUGCUAAUACCGCAUACGCCCUUCGGGGGAAAGAUUUAUCGGCGAAAGAUUAGCCCGCGUCCGAUUAGCUAGUUGGUGAGGUAAUGGCUCACCAAGGCUCCGAUCGGUAGCUGGUCUGAGAGGAUGACCAGCCACACUGGGACUGAGACACGGCCCAGACUCCUACGGGAGGCAGCAGUGGGGAAUAUUGGACAAUGGGCGCAAGCCUGAUCCAGCCAUGCCGCGUGAGUGAUGAAGGCCUUAGGGUUGUAAAGCUCUUUCGCCCACGACGAUGAUGACGGUAGUGGGAGAAGAAGCCCCGGCUAACUUCGUGCCAGCCGCCGCCGUAA
rnacentral:rRNA from 1 species